GUCUGCUUGAGGUACUUCUCCUUCUAAUUAAUCCCCAUGCCGUUGUUCUUAUCUGCCCUCGGGCGUUCGCCUCCUGCCAUCCAUGGCAUUCGCUUAGGGCUCAUUUGGUUUCAAGGUUUCCCCCCCGCGGAUCCCGACCUUUUUCCGGUGCGUGAAAACCACGUGGAAUCUCUGGCCAGGGAGAACCAGCGCCACAUUUGGACGACCCGAUCCAUGGGGCGGCCCAGCCCGAACCCUCCUCUUUUUCCGGGCAGAAGUUCCACGCCUACGCACUCGUGGCGAAUCUCCCCGUGUCGACGAUGCGACUCGCAGCUCGUCUUGGCGAAACUGCGGCUCCUCUCGCCUGGACCACCAAAUGACCAUCCAGAACAGGAGAACUCCCCCGUGGAAGCCCAUGUGCUGUUGAAAUUUCCCUCUCGGGGUUUACUGCCCUGGGUUGUCCUCCCGUAGCCACCAAACAAAGCCUUAAGGAAUUCCAAUUUUAGCUCGCUGGUCGAGAUGCUUCCUUCGCGAAACACUGGUGUCAUCGUCACCCGUAUCAUUACUUCGAUGGGCAUACCACAUCACAACCAUUUGUGAUGCAGAAAAUUGGCCUUCUACCACGAUUUUUUUUAGCUAUACAUCGUGAUUUUUUUUCUUGUAGCAAUAGGCUCGGCCAACUCUCCAGUUUAGAGAAGCAACGACCGCUGCAAUUAUGUACAGUGAGGUAUGAGGUAUGACCAGUAAACACGAUCAAAGCAUGACCAAACCAAUGUCUGUGCGUGUCCAUCUAACAAAAAUGUGUAUCUGCGUGACCGAAAAGUAGUAGAAAGAAAUAAGAACACAAGUGUUAUAAAUACAGCCUUAGAGAAAUUUCAUCUUCUUCUCUGAUGUGGACCGGUUCUUCAUUACUGGGAAGUCCCAAUCGCAGCUCCAAGCAUACAUCAGCUGCCGCUGCUGCAUCCACAUCCCUCCUUGCCUCCUCCUCUUCAGCAUCCGUGUUGCCUGUCACCACUGGAUUCUCCACUACAUCCGGCAAUACUGCCUCCGCCUGUCCUACAUCCGUGUUGUCUGUCACCACUGAAGUUUCCAAUGCACCCGCUAAUACUGCCUCCUCCUCCUCCUCCUCGUCAUCGUCUUCCUCCUCCUCCUCCUCCUCCCCGUCAUUGUCUUCCUCCUCAUCCUCCUCCUUGCAGUCCGACCAGUCCUUCAAUUCACGCACCACCUCGCCCUCGUCCUUGCUACCCGGCCUGCUAGUACCAUGUUCUCUGCAAAAUAAACAAUGCAAACACACUUUGAUUAGCUAAAAUAAAUGUACAGAUUAGCAAUGGGCCUUCUAUUAGUGUGAAGGAAUUCUGCACCGUCACCCAAGAAAUAAAAGGCAUGAAUGAACACAAGGAACAUACAACGGAGUACUAGAAAGUUGGGAACAGUAACUACUGAAAGUGAGGCAUCGCCUCUGCGAAAAGAAGUGAAACAUAAGAGUAAUAUGGUACAUACUCAUAGUUUGGUCGGAUGUGAGCCAUUAUUUUCUUGUUCUCCUUCCUUUCACACCAGCCCUUCAAUUUUGGACAGUCCAAAAUAUGCAGAUCCUUCAGGUUGGUUAGUUUAUUUAUGCUGCCCGGCAAAGAUUCAAUGGCAGGGCAUCUGUGGAUGGCAAGCUUCUCAAGAUUGGUGAGAUCUCCUAACCAUUCCGGCAGUGAUGUGAUACUGUUGCAGUCACUAAGAUGCAUCAACCCAAGGGAGGUGAGUCUUUGCAAACUCCGCGUGAAUCCCUUGAACAUAUUGCAGGACGCGAUCUUCAGUUCCCGGAGAGAGGUGAGGUCACCCAAGUGUUGUUCUAGUGGCUCCAUCAAGCAAUUGGACAGGCAUAGUGACCGGAGGGAGGAUAGGGCCUCAAUAGUAUGUGGUAAAGUCCGUGGUAAAGUCUUCAGAUCACGGCAAUCUUUGACAGUUAAACUAUAGAGGCCAGGGAGGCUGUGAAGCAAAGUCCAGUUAUAUAGAGCUAGGUUGCAGUUUUUGACCACCAGUUCAUUUACUAAAACAGAGGUAAUAGGGGUUUCCACACUCUGGCCUCCUCUGUUCCACCAGGAAUAAACCAUUAGUUUGCUGCAGUCUGAGAUCACCAACCUCCGAGCUCUAGGCGUGAAAGGUCCAAAGCACAACUUGGGGCACCCCGUAAUAACCAGUUCACCAAUGGCCGGGAGCACACACUCCUUACCUCUUCUGUCAUAUGUUGUUUUGAACUCUUCCAGGCUUUCCAUAUCAUCCAACUCUAGAGUGAACUUGGGGAGUCGAUGGAUUGCUGCUCGGUUUCCAUCAGUGAGGUCAUUGACGUUGAAUCUUGUAAUGCUAGCCAUCCUUCUGAAAACUGCUCUCCGCAGGUUUUGUAACAAACACAGUGGUGGUGGGCAGCUGCACCUCGGGAAAUCCUCAAUGGUAACCUCUACAAGAGUAGAGACACGAAAAGAUAUGGUUGCUGUCCACCAGGGUGCAAGGCAGGUCUCGCCAUAUGUGGUUGAUGUCCACCAGGCUGAAAGGCGGGUCUCGUCACUAUAACCAUGUAGCUCAAGGCACUGCAGAUGUGAUGGCAAUAAUUUUCCUAACAGGGUAUUGCCCUCCAUGGAUACUUGGGAGCCCACAGUCCAGCAAAGUUUCAACUUUUGAGUCCUUCCUUCCAGUGCCAUUCUUAUUCGCUCCGCAUCUUUUGUAGUCUUCACGUUUUCAAGACAGCUUAUCUCAAGCUCUUCCAAGUUUGCAUCCUCGAGCUCAACAAUGUUUGUGUUCCUAUAUGUUUCUCCGUUAUCAGCUUUAACCACAAGCUGACAACUUUUCAAACUGCGGCAGUUCCUCACAUGUAUUGACUUAAGAGACUUGAUUUCACCUAUCCUUUUGGCUAUGCUCUUCAGUCUCAUGCAGCCUGAGAGGUCCAGCCUUUGCAGAUUGUUGAGUUCACCUAAACUUUCAGGUAGAUGAUGGAGAAAUUUAUUAUGAGACAAAUCCAAAUGCUCCAGACUCGAAAAGACACUGAUACAUUCAAUAAAUUCAUGAGUUCGCUCUACUGUCUUUGAGUAACAGAUAGGAUUCAGGAACAUGGAUAGGUUCAAAUACUCUAGUUUGGUGAGCUUGCCCAGGACAUCUUUUAGCCCUUCGAGACAGGACUGUUGUUGAGCAAGAUAACAGCAAGGGUGUGACAAGUUCAAGUGCUGGAGAUUGGUAAGGCCACCAAGAGCUUUCUCGACCCCUUCAAAACAAGACCAGAAUGAUAGGUCUAGGUGUACCAAAAAUUUGAGCUUCCUGAAUGAUUCCGGCAGUUUACCUAGUCCGUGGCAAUACGAUAAAUCAAUGUGCAACAAAUUUAUUAGAUUCCCAAAUGACCCAGGCAGAUUUAAUAGCCCACAGCAGCCUGACAAGUUGAUAUGCACCAAAUUUACAAGGUUCCCAAAUGAUUCCGGUAAGUUUACCAACCCAGAGCAGCCUGAUAAGUUGAUGUGCAGCAAAUAUAUUAGCUUCCCAAAUGACAGAGGCAGACUAACUAGUCCUGAGCACUGUGAUAAGUUGAUGUGCACCAAAUUUAUUAGCUUCACGAAUGAUUGCGGGAGUUUUUCUAGUCCAGAGCAGCCUGAUAAAUCGAUAUGCUUCAAACUAGUCAGCUUUCCAAAUGAAUCUGGCAGAUUUACAAGUCCAGAGCAGCCUGAUAAAUCGAUAUGCUUCAAACUAGUCAGCUUUCCAAAUGAAUCUGGCAGAUUUACAAUUCCAGAGCAGCCUGAUAAAUCGAUAUGCUUCAAACUAGUCAGCUUUCCAAAUGAAUCUGGCAGAUUUACAAGCCUAGAGCAGCCUGAUAAAUCGAUAUGCUUCAAACUAGUCAGCUUCCCAAAUGAAUCUGGCAAAUUUACAAGUCCAGAGCAGCCUGAUAAAUCGAUAUGCUUCAAACUAGUCAGCUUCCCAAGUGAAUCUGGCAAAUUUGCAAGUCCAGAGCAGCCUGAUAAUUCAAUAUGCGCCAAAUUUGUUAGCUUCCCAAAUGAUUCAGGUAGAUUUCUUAGUCCGGAGCAGCCUGAUAAAUCAAUAUACAACAAAUUUAAUAAAUCUCCAAGUGACUCCGGCAGAAUAACUAGUCCAGAGCAGCCUGAUAAAUUAAGAUAUCCCAAAUGCCUCAACUGAUAGAUAGAAUCUGGUAAGUUCAGCAUUGAUCUGUCAUUUAAAUCCAAGACACGCAGGCACCACGAAAAUGGAAGCGAAUCAUCGAUGAGCUCCCUUAUGCCAGAACCCACACAACGUAACGCCCUUAUGUGGGUGUAAGAUAAUUUACUGGAUGACUUGAAAUUGUUAAGCAGCACAUAACGGCAGCCGCUAUUAGAGCAUAAUCCCCCCUGAUAAGAUGUCUCCAUUGUAUUAUAUAUAUCACACAUAUAUAGUUUUGCAAUGCUCUGCACCAUAUUGUUCAUAGUGAACAAGAAUGUACUCUUAUCACCAUUUCUACUAGUCUGCAACAGAAGCAUAAAGUGCGUUAGAGAAUAUAAUACUUCCUCUGUCCCAUAAUAUAAGAGCAUUUUUUACACUAGUGUAGUGUCAAAAACGCUCUUAUAUUAUGGGACAGAGGGAGUAGUUUCUAAUCAGUUGCCCUGCCAAAUUCAGAGGUAAAUUUUUUGGCAUGCCAAAAUUUUGAAAAAAUAAAAUAAAAUAGUGAUGGGUCGGCAUCCAAUAAGACCUAACCGGCAGUCCUGCCAGUGUCAAGCCAAUUUUAUUUUGGCCAUCUGAUAGAAUAGCAUGGGCAUGCUAAAAUUUUAGGAGUAAACAAUUGAAUGCCAAUUUGUUUUGGCAUGUCCAUAUUUUGGCAUAGCAAAUACUGGAAGCAAACCAAUUGAGCCCAACGUAUUUUAAACAUAGUGUGGACUGUGGAGUAACUCACCGAAACCGGCACUGUUUGAAGAAGUGACAUGUCCAGAAGCAUCCCAAUAUACUGCUCACGAAGUUGUAUCAUAGAGAAUUUGUCUGAUUCAAGAAGACCGAGAGAAGUCCAUUGAUAAAUCAGAUCAUCUUUACCUAUAGUGUGACCAUAUUGGAUCAUCGCACAGUAAGCCAAGCAUAGCCGUAAGCUCGGCGGCAUGCUAGUGUAUGCCAACAUGAGGAAUGGCUCACCAAUGUGGUUAUAUGCCCAUAUAUCACUGUUCAGUAUUUCUGCCCAUCCUGUAGCAUCUUUGUAGAGUAGCACGCCACCAAGCACCGCAGCUGCUAAUGGUGAACCCUGACACCUUUUUGCAAUCUCUGCACCAACCUGCUCCAUCGCUUGCUUGUCAAACGAUCUACCUUCAAAGUGACUUCGUUGUUUGAUUAUUGUCCAGCACAUAUCAUCACUCAAUGCACUACAACUCUGAAAUACCCUUAUGUCAUAAAUACUCCAUACCAUCUCAUCUGUCAAUGAAUCAAAAUAUAAUUGUCCACGUCCCGUUGUUACGACAAUUACCUCACUAAGAUUGUUCCUUUCCCUUAACAGAUCUGUCAACUCUUCGCUAUCACCCCAUGAUAGAUGUAUGUCAUCUAAAACAACAAGUACCUUAAUACCAUUAUCAAGUAGCUGGUCAAGGCGCUUCCUUACAUACUCCAUGUCAUCAUUUGAAUCACCGUUGAUCUCUUCCCCUGAUACCCGAGAAAUUAUGGCCUUCCCCAUCUCAUGCAAGCGAAAAUUCCCAGAGCAUUGGAUCCAUACGCGAGAGUAGUCUUUGAAUCUGGUAUGGUUGAAAACCAUUCGUGCUAAUGUUGUCUUGCCGCUGCCAUCCUGGCCAUAAAUGUGAACAAUGGUGCAGUGCCCUGUUUGCACAGGUAUACUUUCCAUUAUCCUCUGUAUUUGUUUAUCCCUUCCUACAAUAAUUGGUUCUUCAAUCUCUAUUACAUCAGUAACUGGUGGCUCAAUGCUUGCAUCGGAAUCAGAUGACAUAAGAUUGAAUUCGUCCAUGUCGACCCGUAGCUUGCAGACUUCUUCUUUUAUCUUCUCCAUCUUACCAGCCAUGAUAUUCUUCUUCUCAGGAGCAUUGGCACGUGGUAUCAUCUUCGUCAACUGCAAGGAAUCAGUUAUCAUUUAGCAGGUACAUACACCUUGAGGUAUGGAAGGAGCCAGGAGUACUCGGACGGUCAACGAUGUACAUACCUUGCGCGCGGGUGCUGCUGGUUUCAUUGUGUCUUGCAACUCGUCCAAGAUGUCGUAGGCGGCCUUGACGACCCGCCACAGCCAGUCCCGGACCUUCUUCCCCUGCAGGUCAAGUUCGCGUAUCCAGUGACCUAUGGAUCUCGUAGCCUAACAAUGACAGGAUCUGAGCUUUUCUUCAAAAUGUAUAAGGAUGGUGAAGUAACAUACCUCCAUUUGCUGGGGGGCAUCCUCCAGCAGCGGCUGUAUGGCUUCCGACGAAUCUAUC
rnacentral:lncRNA from 1 species